AUUGGCAAGAGGGUGUGUGAAGGAAGGAAGGGUGACAAGGAGGAAAGAAGUGUGGAUCUGGAGCUUUAGGAAGGAGGAGCUUGAUGUAGAGAAGGGCAGGAGACUGGAAGGAGGGUGGUUCAGCAGCAGUGAAAGCCCAGUGAAUUCCCAGUUGGGAAUGAUUUCCUUAAAAAAACAAAACAAAACAAAAACUUGUGUAGCCUGGAGAGCCCACCGUGAGAACUGCAAAUGCUGGGAACUGCAAAAAGGCAAUUUUUCCUUCUCAUUCUCUAAGGGGAAGAGAAGUGAUGUGAAAAGGGAGUGAGAAUGGAUCACAUGAGAGGAUGUUUGUGAAAACACCCUGUAAGGCAUACAAAAAAGUUAUUAAUAGAGGACAAAGCCUUGCAACAGGAGAACUUUGGAUCUUUGUGAGCUGUUUCCACCUCUGGAGUUUCUUCUCCUCGCCGGGCGGAGUCCCGCUUUCUGCCGCAAGAGGGCGGUAUGGCCACGCUGAGCUGAGGUGUCCACUGCGGGAUUGAGUGGAUUGGGUUCUGAGAUGCUGAGGAGUGGCCUAGAGUUUAAUCUUGUUCUGAGAGCCAGACCCCAGCCUGUCCAAAUGCUCCUCUGUCUCUGCUACCCCAAGUGAUCCAUGGGGAAACCGUGGAGCGGGAGGGCAGGCAGGGAUUUUGCACGGCGCCAUUCAUCUCUGGUGUAUUCACAUCUGGGGCAUUAGGGUUGGGAAGUUUGGGAGUGCUUUGUUCUGUGGGCUAGUGGAGAAUAAAAUGUGCAUUGUCUUCA
rnacentral:lncRNA from 12 species